rnacentral:rRNA from 1 species
UGAUCGGCCACACUGGGACUGAGACACGGCCCAGACUCCUACGGGAGGCAGCAGUAGGGAAUCUUCCGCAAUGGACGAAAGUCUGACGGAGCAACGCCGCGUGAGUGAUGAAGGCUUUCGGGUCGUAAAACUCUGUUGUUAGGGAAGAACAAGUACAAGAGUAACUGCUUGUACCUUGACGGUACCUAACCAGAAAGCCACGGCUAACUACGUGCCAGCAGCCGCGGUAAUACGUAGGUGGCAAGCGUUAUCCGGAAUUAUUGGGCGUAAAGCGCGCGCAGGCGGUUUCUUAAGUCUGAUGUGAAAGCCCACGGCUCAACCGUGGAGGGUCAUUGGAAACUGGGGAACUUGAGUGCAGAAGAGAAAAGCGGAAUUCCACGUGUAGCGGUGAAAUGCGUAGAGAUGUGGAGGAACA